rnacentral:rRNA from 1 species
GAUGAACGCUAGCGGCAGGCCUAAUACAUGCAAGCCGAACGGCAAGCUUUGUAGCAAUACGGAGCCUAGAGUGGCGUAAGGGUGCGUAACACGUAUGCAAUCUACCCUCAACAGGAGAAUAGCUCCCGAAAGGGGAAUUAAUGUUCCAUAGGAUCAUGGUGCGGCAUCGCACAGUGAUUAAACCGCAAGGGGUUGAGGAUGAGCAUGCGCAUGAUUAGUUAGUUGGCGGGUAAC